rnacentral:tRNA from 1 species
GUCCCCAUCGUCUAGUCUGGUCUAGGACACAAGCUUUUCAAGCUUGUGACACCGGUUCAAAUCCGGUUGGGGACG